CCCUCCCUCAUGGUGGCUCAUAAAGCUAUAAUUUCAAUGGACGGUCGUCCUAAGAAGGUUAAGUGUAUUUCUACCCAUUGAUGCUGAGUAAGAUUUGAAGCUUUUUCCACCUUAGAGAUAGCUAUUGUUCGUAUCUUUACCUCCAAUAGCUCACCCAUCUCCAGCUCUCAACCGAUUAAAGGCUUGAAAAAUCAUCUCUUUGAUUUUAGGUGGGA
rnacentral:lncRNA from 1 species